GAUGAACGCUGGCGGCGUGCCUAAUACAUGCAAGUCGAGCGAACGGACGAGAAGCUUGCUUCUCUGAUGUUAGCGGCGGACGGGUGAGUAACACGUGGAUAACCUACCUAUAAGACUGGGAUAACUUCGGGAAACCGGAGCUAAUACCGGAUAAUAUUUUGAACCGCAUGGUUCAAAAGUGAAAGACGGUCUUGCUGUCACUUCUAGCGGGAUCCGCGCUGCAUUAGCUAGUUGGUACGGUAACGGCCUACCAAGGCAACGAUGCAUAGCCGACCUGAGAGGGUGAUCGGCCACACUGGAACGGAGACACGGUCCAGACUCCUACGGGAGGCAGCAGUAGGGAAUCUUCCGCAAUGGUCGAAAGCCUUACGGAGCAACGCCGCGUGAGUGAUGAAGGUCUUCGGAUCGUAAAACUCUGUUAUGAGGGAAGAACAGAUGUGUAAGUAACUGUGCACAUCUUGACGGUACCUAAUCAGAAAGCCACGGCUAACUACGUG
rnacentral:rRNA from 1 species